rnacentral:rRNA from 1 species
CCUACGGGAGGCAGCAGUAGGGAAUCUUCCGCAAUGGACGAAAGUCUGACGGAGCAACGCCGCGUGAGCGAUGAAGGCCUUCGGGUCGUAAAGCUCUGUUGUCAGGGAAGAACAAGUAUCGGAGUAACUGCCGGUACCUUGACGGUACCUGACCAGAAAGCCACGGCUAACUACGUGCCAGCAGCCGCGGUAAUACGUAGGUGGCAAGCGUUGUCCGGAAUUAUUGGGCGUAAAGCGCGCGCAGGCGGUUCCUUAAGUCUGAUGUGAAAGCCCACGGCUCAACCGUGGAGGGUCAUUGGAAACUGGGGGACUUGAGUGCAGAAGAGGAGAGUGGAAUUCCACGUGUAGCGGUGAAAUGCGUAGAGAUGUGGAGGAACACCAGUGGCGAAGGCGGCUCUCUGGUCUGUAACUGACGCUGAGGCGCGAAAGCGUGGGGAGCAAACAGGAUUAGAUACCCUGGUAGUCCACGCCGUAAACGAUGAGUGCUAAGUGUUAGAGGGUUUCCGCCCUUUAGUGCUGCAGCUAACGCAUUAAGCACUCCGCCUGGGGAGUACGGGCCGCAAGGCUGAAACUCAAAGGAAUUGACGG